CCUACGGGUGGCAGCAGUGAGGAAUAUUGGUCAAUGGACGAGAGUCUGAACCAGCCAAGUAGCGUGAAGGAUGACUGCCCUAUGUGUUGUAAACUUCUUUUAUAAAGGAAUAAAGUGAGGCACGUGUCCCUUUUUGUAUGUACUUUAUGAAUAAGGAUCGGCUAACUCCGUGCCAGCAGCCGCGGUAAUACGGAGGAUCCGAGCGUUAUCCGGAUUUAUUGGGUUUAAAGGGAGCGUAGGGGGGUUGUUAAGUCAGUUGUGAAAGUUUGCGGCUCAACCGUAAAAUGGCAAUUGAUACUGGGAGCCGUGGGUAGAGUGGAGGUAGGCGGAA
rnacentral:rRNA from 1 species